GUUAACAAAUACAGUUUAGAUCUAACCACACGAAGGCUAAUGAGCUAGUUAAAUACGCACCUUGGAGUUAAAAUUGUGUGUGGCAGCACGCAAAGAAGAUAUUUAAUUAGGGGUGAUAGGCCUAACAAGUUGGCCGAUAUCUUGUUGUUUAGGAAAACUAUUAAGUAGUUAGUCAGCUUUAAAGUGUUUAGGUUUUAAAGGAGCAUUACAAUAGGUGUAUUAACAUUUAGGUUGUUUAAUUACAAUUAAUUAAGUAUAGUUAGAACUAAGUACUUGUCACUAUGCGUAUUACUAAAAUAUGUUGAAUAACACUAUCAAUAUAAAUACUGUUAACAUGAGUAUUUACAUAAUAUGUAUAAAGGAACUCGGCAACUAUUCUAUUCAACUGUUUAUCAAAAACAUAGCCUGAUGAAACGAUGUUUGGUGCCUUCUGCUCCAUGGUUAACUAAAUAGCCGCAGUACCUUGACUGUGCUAAGGUAGCAUAAUCAAUUGGCUUAUAAUUGAAGUCUGGAAUGAAAGAAGACAUGGAUAGUCUCUGUCUCUUAACUUUAAACUGAAUUUACUAAUUAGGUGAAAAGUCCUAUAAAUAACUAAUAGACGAGAAGACCCUUGAAAUUUUUUACAUAACAGUAUAGAUACUUCAUAAUUUUGUUGGGGCGACAGGAUAACAAAUAACUUGUCUUGUAUAUAUAUAUUAGCAUUUUAUUUAAGGAAAAAAUAAAUUACUCGAGGGAUAACAGCAUAAUGUGUUUAAAGUUUGUGACCUCGAUGUUGGACUAGGGUCUCUUAAGGGCCAGAAGCUUUAAGAUUAGGCUCUGUUCGAGCUUGUAUUCCUACAUGAUCUGAGUUCAGACCGG
rnacentral:rRNA from 1 species